rnacentral:rRNA from 1 species
GAUGAACGCUAGCGGCAGGCUUAACACAUGCAAGUCGAGGGGUAUAGGUUUUCGGACCUAGAGACCGGCGCACGGGUGCGUAACGCGUAUGCAAUCUACCUUUCACAGAGGGAUAGCCCAGAGAAAUUUAGAUUAAUACCUCAUAGUAUAGCAGUUUCGCAUGAAACCACUAUUAAAGUAUCAACGGUGAAAGAUGAGCAUGCGUCCCAUUAGCUAGAUGGUAGGGUAACGGCUUACCAUGGCUACGAUGGGUAGGGGUCCUGAGAGGGAGAUCCCCCACACUGGUACUGAGACACGGACCAGACUCCUACGGGAGGCAGCAGUGAGGAAUAUUGGUCAAUGGACGCAAGUCUGAACCAGCCAUGCCGCGUGCAGGAUGACGGUCCUAUGGAUUGUAAACUGCUUUUGUACGAGAAGAAACAACAUUACGUGUAAUGUCUUGACGGUAUCGUAAGAAUAAGGAUCGGCUAACUCCGUGCCAGCCGCCGCAGUAAUAC